rnacentral:rRNA from 1 species
UACAGAGGGUGCAAGCGUUGUUCGGAAUUAUUGGGCGUAAAGCGCGUGUAGGCGGCUUUGCAAGUCGGGUGUGAAAGCCCUCAGCUUAACUGAGGAAGUGCGCCCGAAACUGCAGAGCUCGAGUACCGGAGAGGAUGGCGGAAUUCCCCAAGUAGAGGUGAAAUUCGUAGAUAUGGGGAGGAACACCGGUGGCGAAGGCGGCCAUCUGGACGGAUACUGACGCUGAGACGCGAAAAGCGUGGG